rnacentral:lncRNA from 1 species
UCCGCUUCUGCGUCAUCAAUCAUGUUGCUAUACUACUAUUGUAUUUUGUUUGUUUUCCUCUAAAAAGUACUCCCUCUAUUUCGAAUUAUAAGAUGUUUUACUGUAACCCUUUAAAAAAAAUGUUGUACUGUAACCCCAAAAGAUGUUUUAUUAUUGUAUAAAAAUUUAAUGAGAUGUAUAUAGACACGUUUUAGUGCGUGUAUAUGUCUCGGCUAUGAAUUUGGUCGGAAUCGUGUGAGGUGGACGGAGAUGUGUAUACCGGACGGAUGAUGCGUCGAGCGGGGGUCAAUUGCUGCCAGGAAGCAAACACGACGCCUCACGUCAUCGCUUGCUGGUUGGUGCUCCUGCUGCUCGGCACGUAGGCCACCCGACCAAAAGCACUCCAGGUUUUAACAAGUGGCACACAGGAACGGAGCAACAUAUUCAUACAAGAAGACUUUUUCAGAUGGGCCAAGAGCAGGAGCACAUAGAAUUGUUGCGAAACACAAGCCGGCUUUACACGGUAGUGGAGUAGUUGCCACGCACGUUAUGUUACAAAGCAUACAUACAUGCCACCUGACGAUGAGGCCGUCGCACCGCCGAGCGCUUCAACUUUGCAAUUUACAGGAGCACUCCUCACCUGCUGGUAGACUUCACAAUCGCCAGAUACAGAUCUGAUGGACGACACCAAGGAAAACUGCAGUUUCAUCACACCAGAAAGCAAAGCAAGGGCCUGCCAAAAGUCAAACGGUAAUCNNNNNNNNNNNNNNNNNNNNNNNNNNNNNNNNNNNNNNNNNNNNNNNNNNNNNNNNNNNNNNNNNNNNNNNNNNNNNNNNNNNNNNNNNNNNNNNNNNNNNNNNNNNNNNNNNNNNNNNNNNNNNNNNNNNNNNNNNNNNNNNNNNNNNNNNNNNNNNNNNNNNNNNNNNNNNNNNNNNNNNNNNNNNNNNNNNNNNNNNNNNNNNNNNNNNNNNNNNNNNNNNNNNNNNNNNNNNNNNNNNNNNNNNNNNNNNNNNNNNNNNNNNNNNNNNNNNNNNNNNNNNNNNNNNNNNNNNNNNNNNNNNNNNNNNNNNNNNNNNNNNNNNNNNNNNNNNNNNNNNNNNNNNNNNNNNNNNNNNNNNNNNNNNNNNNNNNNNNNNNNNNNNNNNNNNNNNNNNNNNNNNNNNNNNNNNNNNNNNNNCAUGAUCGACGGCAACGGCAUGGAGGUGGAAAGGCUAUAAUCCCUGGGGGCUCCACCCGAGCUCCUUGCACUGCUGUUCAUCGGGCUGCAGACUGUUCGGUAUCGCGCCAAACACACAGCGGGCAGCUUCAAACCCGGAGAUGGUGUUGUGAAAAAAUGCAGAUGCCUCUUCCAUGUUCUUCUUCAGCUCAUCCGGGUUGAUGUACAUGAAACGCUGUGAAGUGGAAGGAGUUUGCUUGGCGGGCGUGGCUGGUGCGAUUUCGGCAACCCUGACAAACCUCUCUGUCGCUGCCUCCCAGGAAAGCUCGUGCCUCAGUUCCUCUGUCAGUGGGAUUGGUUCUUCUGACAGUGCUUUCAUGGUUAGUCUCACAAACUCUUUCUCCGUGCUGUACAUGUGGCAGUUGGGAAAUCUUUUGAAAAAUUCAUUUGAAGGAUGAUUUGCGCAGAUCACAAUCUUUCCCAUCGCCAAGGCUUCUGCAGUUGUGGUGCAAACUACAUCUGUUGUGCUUGGGUUUAUGAAAACCUUGUAGCUGAAACAAACAAUAGGUAAUAUAAAUCAGCUGGAUUAGGAAUAAAUUGAUGACAUAAUGCACUUGUGGCAAAAUGAAUAGCUCGAACUAGCCCAAGCAGCUACAUAGCUUGUGUGGCCCCUUAGGUGCACAGGAAAAGAUAAAUUAAGGAAUAGGGAAAACGCAGGAUCUCACUCGUGAAAUAUUGAAUCUGCAUGGUCGCGCCCAGGAUAGACUCUAACGUCCAGAUUGAGUUUUUCAGCUGAUGCUUUAACUUCACCCGAAUCUUCUCCACUGCCAUAGAGCUCCAUCUUGAGACCAGACAGUUCCUUUUGGUGCUUCUGAAGCAGGUGGAGCAGCUCUGUGUAGCCUUUACUCCAGACCAUCUUCCCAAUAUAAUAUGCACCCUUGAAGAAUGAUUGCUCUCUUUGAGAUAUUUGCCGAUGCUUCAAUUUGCCAAUUUCAAUAAAUUUUGGGUUUACUCCAUGAACAUUACAGAUUACAGAUCUCGGGACUUCCUGAGUUGCUCCCGAUAAUCUUAUAACCUAGAUAAAACAUCACGGGCAACAAAAGGUCAGAAACUGCACAUAACCAAAAAAAACUAGAUGAAGAAACUAUUGUCUUCAAAAAGAGAAAAUGGAGCCAUGUUUGCAUAUCAAAUCAUGGAUGGAAUGAUGUUCUUGUACCAAUACAGAUAUGAAAAAAUUACCAUUCAUGAAUACGCUACCGCAAUGCAUUAUGCAGAAGCCAUAAUGGUUUACGGUGCAGAUAACAAGUGGGGCAGCCCUAGAUAGACAAUAACUGUCAAAAAAUACGGACCAGCUUUGUAUGAAUGCUAUACAAAUAUGGCAAUUCCAUGUAUGCUAUUGAUGUUAAAUUGGCAACUAUGCAUCCAUGAAAUCGUCUAUAUAGAUAUUCAGCCUAAUGAGACUGGAAAACUUAGGAGGUUUCAUAAAACCAACUGGAUGUUAAUACUUAAUGAAAUGCUUGAAAAAAAACGAGGUGACAGUAAACAUAAUAGAAAAUAAAACUGCUAACCUUAUGGCAGUAGAUGUCGGUGACCCAAGAAUUGAUAUGUUUUAAGAGAAAUGCCUGAAUAUACCCAUUUUUCUCCCUCUUCACGUAUUCCAGAUAGUUGGUGUGAACAACACCUAUAACUUUACGGAAUUUGUUUUUCCACCUCCGUCCAUGAUGGUACCAGGUCAGAUGUUCUGGCUCUUCUAGAACUGCAAUAUCUGCUUUUUCAUCAGAUAUCGUCUCGGUAAUAUCCCCAACAGGUAGAAUGCUUCUUUUCUCCGUCGAGAACUGCAUAUGAACAUAGUUAGACUAGUCUGCCAUGCGAUCAGAAUAUAAAGAAUAUUAUCAGCACCAAAUCAAUUUAUGCUGCCCUUUGGUAGAGCAUAAAGGCAAGUACUAAGUCAUUAGAUAGCUUCCCUCCCCCACUAUUUCUAUGCUCAAUUUACUGCUUUACCAUGUACUCCCUCCGUUCCUAAAUAUUUGUCUUUCUAGAGAUUUCAACAAGUGACCACAUACGGAGCAAAAUGAGUGAAUCUACACUCUAAAAUAUGUCUACAUACAUCCGUAUGUGGUAGUUCAUUUGAAAUGUCUAGAAAGACAAAUAUUUAGGAACGGAGGAAGUACGUAUCAUCAAAGGGGUGAAUACAAGUUAUGUACUCCCUCCGUUUCUAAAUAUAAGCCACUUUAGAGGUUUCAAUCAAUACAUACUACAUACGGAUGUAUAUAGAUGUAUUUUAGAGUGUAGAUUCACUCAUUUUGCUCCGUAUGUAGUCCAUAUUGGAAUCUCUAAAAAGGCUUAUAUUUAGGAACGGAGGGAGUAUUAUUCAGUACUUCUCAGUUUCUGCUCGUCCUGCGCUCAACUAACACAAGUAUUAUUAAUUUGCGGGCUAGUUACAGUAUUGCAGGUACUGUAUACAUAAACGUUUCAAAAAUUAAUCACCUUCUACUACCUACUCAGUUGAAAUUUCCAACGCCUCAGUAUCCAACAAGGACACAGGAGAUACCAUUCUACAACAUUUUAGUUCCACAAGUAAUGUAAGUUCAUACAGAUGCCUGUAGUGUACAGUUGCAUAGAUAGGGCCAAACACCAAUAGGUGAUGUAUUUUCACGUGUUGCAAAAAAUUGGGAGGCUUCAUUUGAGCUUUCUAUCAAGUACUAAACCACAAAACAUGCACAUAUAUUCAAGGGAUAUUUACAACAUGAUGACAAGAGAUAACAAUAUAUUUUGGCAAUUCGUUCAAGUUUACCUUCCCAGGAUAGAAAUUUAUGUUGAAUCUCGGCAACUGCCCAGUCCGCUCCUCAAGCCACCGCCGCACAUAGCCUUCUUGCUCCGCCGGCCCACUGAAUUUCAUGUUGUUAGGGUAAACCAGCAUCUGAUCCCCCUUGGACAGCCACGGCACCACCAGCGUGACCUCCCAGUCCCCGGCCUUGGCGAGGUAAGCCGCCCGGAACAGGGGGUUGACAGCAGUGCCGGUCAUCCACGGCAGGCUCGCCGUGGUGAAUAUGGUGACGUGCUGCCUCCUCGCCAUCGCCAUAGCCUCGCAGAACCACCCCACCGCACACGGCCACUGCAAUUUCCAAGGAACACGGCGAGUGGCCCUUAAAUGAUGGAGUAACAUCGACGAACAGCGCAUGACAGUAACAGCAGAAUCCAGUUCCCCCAUUAUCCUCCCACCCACUCCAUUUCCCCGUUGCAUUUGGGGAUUGAUUCACUCGUUGUGGACCAAAAGUCAGAGGCUCGGGGGCAUCCAAUUCGACGCCCACAGAUGCAAUGUGACUCACGCGUCGAGGCUCGAGACCCCACCCAGGAACUCGAGGGGGGAGAUCCGACGAUGAACACAACCAGACUGCAUCGUUCGAUCUGAGCUCUAUGCCUCUAAUCGAGCAAGCUGCGAGCCCUAACUGCGAUUACGAGACGAGGCGCGAACGGAGGGGAAUUGGGGUGGAGGAGGAGGAGGAAGGAUUACCUGUGCGAUGGGUGGCGCCGCGGCGAGGGCGAGCGGUUGCUGGGGCGAGGGCGGGGGCGGGGAAGAAGAUGACAGCCGGGGGUGCAGAUGGGGUUGGGGACUGUGGGGGUAUCAACACCGCUGUUCCUGUCGACUCGUCGGCAACGGAACCGGGACCCACCAGAAUCUCGGCCUGUGGGUCCGGAUUCUCAGUGCAACCGGCUUGAGCAACGGAUAGAAACAGGCCCGAAAAGUCGGCCCAAAAGAUGGUGGCUCUAAUCUUGUCUGCUUUUUUCCUAACGAAAAAACCUUGUUCAUUGAAAUUCUUUCUUUUUUCGAGGACAUUGACACUCUUUGAUCAUCCUGCAGCUGAUAUAAUUAAGCAGACCACUAUUAUCCAAAGCGAAGACAAAGGCAUCCUAUGCUGGGAUCAAUGGGUGAGCCAGAAACUUUUGUGAAGUAUCGGCAAGUUUAAGGCUUUAAACCUAAAUAUCUAAGCUAGAAAUCAAAAUCAGGUGCUCGGAUAGACAACAUAUAAAAUUAGCAGCAAACUUUUGAACCAAAAAUCCACAGUAAUGAUGUAGUGGAAAUGUCACCGUAGUAGUCAUAUAAAUGUAAUUUUAGAGUGAACUAAUAUAUAAUAUAUCAAUAUUUAGUUACAUUGACCAAAAUAAAAUUUAGACUUGACAACGUAAGUCAUAGAACCAUGCCUAAAAAAUUGGAUUUGAAUAUGAGGAUACUGCCAAUUUGAAUAUGAGCUUAGGCAAGUGCCCAGGGUCAUCGGGUGCUGUCUUCGGCCCUGUCUAGGAACCCACUCUCAAUUGUAACUGCAAUUUAAAAUUUGUAUAUAAACGUUGUUUUCAAGUGUUGUAAGAAUAAUCAGAGGCUCAGCCAAUGCAACUUAAUUUUAUUAUGUUUCAUGUACUUUAUACUAUUGAUGAACUUUUAUAACAAAUCUGAAUAUUUUUCACUAAAAAUGCCUUGCUUAACCAGGUCUAGAAGAACAAAUACGUGCCCCCUAGAUUGCCAACGUUUUGCAUGGUGAAUCCUCAUGAGGGUCAUCCCUACAGUUAAUUAAAAGAGCAAGUAGAUUCAUCACUCACGUUAGCAAUCUAUUAUUCCAAGUGUAAUGCAGAUGGGUAGGAUCUACACUUAUUCUCUUUAUGCACUUUUUCUAGACUUGCAUGGUUCUCUAUACCACUGCUUAUCACAUUUGAAAUUCUAGCUUAAAAUAAAACAUUUGUUGUUGAUGUCGUACAGAUUAUGCUUUCUAUGAGCCACCCUAAAGCUACUCUUGAAAAUUUUAUAUUUUUGAUGCGAUGUAUGCGGAAACCCAUAGAUAAUAACCUUUUUGGCACAGAAACUAGGUUCUCCUGUAUAGGUUCUUCACAAGAAUAAGUCAUUGCCUCAAGCCAGGACCUCCAAGAUGGCACCGGGAUCGAUAUUGAACAAUUUUCAAGUUCAAGCUCCUCCUUAGAUUCUAGCACAUGGCAUAACCAUCAGAUUUUUUUUAUACUACUGAUGUUAAUUCAUGCAACCUUGUCUCAACCUUACUCAUGAUAUCACUUAUUAGAAUAACUAGAUGAUUCCCCGCGCGUUGCUGCGGGAAAUAUUGCUUAAAAUUGUUGUUUUACUUAGCAAGCUAACUCUCCUAAUAGGAUGAACAAAAUAGUGAACAAAUUAUCCUGCUUUGGCAACAACACUUUAGAAUAAUAUACGUCAUUGUAAUGGUACAUAAAUAGGGUCAAUCCUCCUAGUUAUAUCAUUCAACUUUGGCAACAACACUUUAGAAUAAUACUCUCUCUGUAAAGAAAUAUAAGAUCGUUUAGAUUACAUCAUUGUAAUGGCACAUAAGUAAGGCCGAUACUCCUAGUUAUAUCAUUCAACUUCUGGAUGGUAGACGAACAACCAGAUUAGAUUUAAUAUUACCCACGAAACUAACAAAUUAUUACAAAGUAAUUUCAUGAGACGUUCAUAUUCAGCAAUACGGGAUAGUAAGAUCUUUGCAAAUGUGAUCCUUCAGAGGGAAGAACAGAAGUUCCAUCUAGUGGAUGAUAGCACCGCCUUCCUCAAUGGUUAAGUAACUUGCAGAUAAAAUCUAGGAUUUUGCAGAAACACAAAGAAACAAAUGUAUCAGGGAACAUUAGGACACAUGUAGCACUUUUGCAUACCUAAAUUUGUUCUUUUCGGGAUCUAUGGUGUACCUAGAUACCAGUUACAACAAUAUAUUUGUGAAAUUUGAGUAAAACUAUGAAACCAGGGAUCGCUUUCAGUGUGAUUAAGAAAAUAAAUUGAACAAAAAUAGCAAGGGGAUGCUCAACAAAGUAAACUCCUUGUCAUAAGAGACGAUAAUGAUUAUAUUUUUUGUGCCUAAAGAGUUGUUUAUGAUUUUUAGAACAAUGUUCUAUGUUUCAGUGAUUGGCUAUCGACCAUACAAAUGAUAAAACUGUAAAAUAAUCUUUUUAUGAAUCCAUAGUACAUGCUAUUUAGCAUAAAUCUACAUGGAACACAAACACAUGGAAGUACAAAGGAACGGUUGUGAAAUUUAAGCAAUGAAAGGAUGCACGCCAUCAUUAUUUGCAGUAAGACAUGUGAAAAACUCCCAAAAAGAAUAAAUUCUCAUAUACCUUCACAUUGUUGAGUGUGAGGGAAGUAAUCUGCAAUAAGAAAAGUAAAUUAGAAAAAAAAUCAGAGUUAGACUUCACUAACUAAGCACUUGAAAAUUGCAUGAGUUAUUAUAUCUAUGCCUUAAUCAAAGUAAAUAAGUUGAAAAUCAAAGUAAAUAAGUUGGCAUCUCAAAGAAUAAAAGGUAAAUAAAUUUACUAACUAACCAUAUAUAAUCUCCUUUUUAGCAUCUUCUUCAUGACCUAUAAGCUGCACAUCAUACUGAAUCAAACAAUGACGGCUUGAUGUGUAAACAUACUAAUUGGCCCUCGUGUUUUUGCCAUAACAAUAGAAAAAAUCCACUAUGCAGCAUUAAAAAUUUGUAUGAGGGUGAAUCAGAUAAUCUAAGAAAAUGGGAUAUGUACCGUCAUUUUUUUAUGAUUAGGGCACUCAAACGUAAGCCCUAUCACUGAAACUGAGUUGUGUGAGUUUUGCACCUAUUGAUGCGUACAAUUUACCAGUAUUGAAUAUGCCAUGGUAGAAGAGAAGUAAUCUGAACCACCAACAUAUGAAAAUAAAUUCUAACUACAUGUUUACAUUAUGGCACCUAUAUAUUGUAUCAACACCAGUUUACCAUCCAUAUCCGUUUUCCCAAGUAUCGUAUGAGUAUGAAAUGGAAAUAGCUUUCGUUCUUUGCUCAAGGGUUUGACAAACAGGUCCUUGUUCUCUGGCAGCAGAAAAUAAAAAUUCAGAAUGCCUCAGGUUGGAACUCACAAGAAGCAAUGUGGCAUAGCAUGCGAUAAACAAAUAAAAUAAAAUUUGAGCCUCGAGGAUACAGGUGGGCUUCUCACUGUUCGGAAUCUAAUGUCCGUCAACAACAGCCAGAGUUAUGAUAUCCGCAGAUCUGCAAGAACGAACCUACAGUAGAAUUUAACCAAUAUAUCAUGAUGUAUUCCAAGCAAAUAAUUAGAGAAGUAAAAACAAUUCCCUUGCAUAACCAAACAUUAUUACUACUUCCACGCAAUAGCCAAGCAACCAGGCAAGGAGAAACAAUUCGGUUGCGUAACGAACCGGAAUUACCACAUCGAAGCAAUGGCAAGGAGAAUAACUUACAAACUGGAAGCAAUAGUGUGAAGAAGGCCGCAUCAUGCUUCUCUCUCGCGCGCGCGUCGACACAGCCGUCGCCACAACUUGACCCUGGAGAAGCCGUCUUUUGACCUUGAGAUGAACGCAUCAAGCUCCCCUCUCAUCUCCUGUCGACACAAUCACCGCCAUGAUCCCUUGCCUUCUCUCUCCCACACAGCCUCCACAUGCCCAAUUCCUCUCGUGUCUCCCUCUCGAAUCGCCUGAGUAGUAGCAAGCGCAAGGAGCCGAGCGGUGGACGGCGGAAGGGAUAAGAAGCGGAGGCCGAUUUGGCCAGGACUCGCGACCGUGGGAGGAGUCUCGCACUGGUGGCAGGCGAACCAAGAAGACGGAGCGGGGAGGCUGGACUGGAUGGGAAUUAAAGGAGGAAGGGAAAGUGGAAGGGGAACGGCUCAGGACGAAGGCAUUGAUGGUCUGCUUUUGGGAGUGAGGAGCCGGAAGAUGGAAUCAAUGCAGCGCGAUGUAGCGCGGGGGUUGAACGCAUGAGGCUGGUCAUAGUGGGGAGUAACAUAUACUAGAGCAUGCUUGAUAUGUUUUAGUCCCGUGACUAAAAGUAGUGGGACUAAAACUUGCUAGUCUCACCCAUGCUUGGAUCCAAAUACUAAAGAGACUAAAAUCUAGUUAUUGAGCAUUUAUUAUCCUCCAGACCCUCCAAUCCAGAACUAAGGAGAGGAAUUAAAUGAGGAGAGAGAGAGUUAAUACAUAUUUUAGUAGGUUUCCCAAGACUAAAAGAUUUUAGCCUCAAGACUAGUCCUAGCCUCUCUUUAGUCAGGGGUGCUUGGAACUUUAGCCUCUAAAAGAGACUAUUUUUAGUCAGACUAAAAAUAGUCAGACUAUUUUUAGUCAGACUAAAAAUAGUUACCGGAACAUCACACACUCCAAGAAACAAUGAGUCUAUAACCUAAUAAAUACAUUGUUGCAUGACACUAUAUAGAUGUUCCUACUCACUGUAGAGGUAGUAACAUAGUCUAGGGAAGUAUGUAAGUUACUAGACUAUGUUCUUGCCCACUGUGACCUUCAGCAGCCCUAUUUUUAGUCUGACUAAAAAUAGUCUCUUUUAGAGGCUAAAGUUCCAAGCACCCCUGACUAAAGAGAGGCUAGGACUAGUCUUGAGGCUAAAAUCUUUUAGUCAUGAGAAACCUACUAAAAUAUGUAUUAGCUCUCUCUCUCUCCUCAUUUAAUUCCUCUCCUUAGUUCUGGAUUGGAGGGUUUGAAGGAUAAUAAAUGCUCAAUAACUAGAUUUUAGUCUCUUUAGUACUUGGAUCCAAGCAUGGGUGAGACUAGCAAGUUUUAGUCCCACUACUUUUAGUCAUGGGACUAAAACGUAUCCAAGCAUGCUCCUACUAAAAUAUGUAUUAGCCCUCUCUCUCCUCAUUUAAUUCAUCUCCUUUAGCACAUGCGAGUUCUGGAUUGGAUGGUUUGGAGGAUAAUAAAUGCUCAAUAACUUCAUUUUAGUCUCUUUAGUAUUUGGAUCCAAGCAUGGGUGAGGCUAGCAAGUUUUAGUCCCACUACUUUUAGUCAUGGGACUAAAACGUAUCCAAUCACUACUUUAGCUAGUUACCACAAGCACCUCUCUCUUCAUUAAAUAUGUGACACAUAAGCAAAGUUGUAUUGAAGUGUGUGAUGUUACUCCUAAGUUCCUCUCCAUUGUGACCAGCCGAAUGCAGAUUGUGCAACUUCUGAGUCAUGGAAGAACACAUUAGAAAAACAUCACACAGAAAUGGUAAAACUGAUGCUUUAUUCGCAUUCAUCUGACACCUAUCUACAAAUUGAAGCCCGGGGCUUAAAUUUAACCGAGACACAUUUUGUCUUCCAAAAAGAAAGAAAGAAAAAACUUGCGACACGUCUAAACAUACAUAGAGCCUGAUAGACACUUGGCAGUUGGAUUACACUUGCAGCUCGGUGACCAAUAAAACAACAAACGCAUGAAGAAAUAUAUAACCCUUUUUCACCAUGUGGCGCGGGCGCGGGAAUGGUGGCUUUGCUCGGCCCGAUGGCCACACUCACAUGACGAUCUCGGGCUUGAGGAUGCUGGACUUGAUCUCCUUGUGCGGGAGCACGACGCCGCCGUUGCUAUACACCUCGUCGCAGACGUGCACGUCCUCGCCGAGGAUGGUCAUGUUCUCCACGCGCGCCCACUUGCCCACCGUCGAGUGCCACCCCACGAUGCUGCCGGAGAUGCACGCGUGCUUCUUCACGCGGGCGCCCCGCAUCACGGUGCACCUCGACAGCCGCACCCCGGCCUCCACCACGCACCCGGGCCCGACGGCCACGUCCGGCCCGAUCAGGCACCCCUCCCCGAUCGUCGCCGUCUCGUGCACCAGCACGUUGCCCAGCACGUGCGCGCCCGCCGCCAGCCUCGCCGGCGCCCGCUUCCUCAGGGACUCCAGGUAGAGGCGCAGCCCCGUGAUGUAGUCCCUCGGCUGCCCGAUGUCCAUCCAGAACCCCGGCAGCACCAUGGCGUACAGGCCCUUGUCGGCGGCGAUGCGCGGGAACACCUCCUUCUCGAUGGACGUCGGCUUCAGCUCGAUGCGGUCCAGCACGGACGGGCUCAGCAGGUAGAUGCCGGCGUUGAUCUUGUUGCCCACGAACACCUUGGGCUUCUCCACGAACCGCUCCACCUUCCCGGUCUCCUCCUCCGUCACCACCACGCCGUACUUGGAAGGCUCGUCCACCUUUUUUCAUAUUAAAAUCAAAGUAGCCACAUCCAUUUCUCAGCAUAUAUAUGGACGGAAACCCAACCUUCAAGGUAAAUUUUACUCGUCACUAGGCCUUGGUCACCACGUACCUUGGUGACCAUGAUCGUGGCCUCGCCGCCAUGGGACUUGUGGAACUCGAUGAGCUCUGCGAACGGGUACUCGCUGAUCACGUCGCUGUUGAGGACGAAGAAAGGCUCGCCGGAUCCGUCGUCGAGCUUGUCGCGGGCAAGGGCCAGCGGUCCGGCGGUUCCCAUUGGCUCUGUCUCCUGGGAGCAGGUGAUCUUGAUGCCAAGCUUGCUCUCGAAGUCCUUGAGAAAGUUGAGCAUGACCUGCAAUUUGUUUGACCAAAGCAAGACAGUGAGAUCUGGGAUUCUGACGAAACAACAGUUUUCCAAGGCGUGGCAUGCCAUGCUCAAUUACCUCUGGCUGGUAAUUGAUGGCCAGGACAACUUCUGUGACUCCCACAUCUUUCAGAGCCUCGAUCUGGUGACAAAAGCAUUACAAAAAAAUUAAUCACAAGAUACUCUGAACAAUUAAAGUCCCAGCCAAGAAAAGGAUGCUUGAAACGGACGUAAAUUUGCUCAGGACAGGGAAAUGGUCAAUUAUUGGUUACCCCUUUUAAAUUCAUAUAUAUAUUUUGUUUCUAUCAUCACAAUUAUUUGAGACACACAUGGUGAUGCAUACAGGUCCAUGACUGUUGCUGUGCGGAAUCUAUUCACAUGGACCACCUAGCAAAUCAUGGACUGAUGAGGCCUUGCAUAAAC